AGUGAACGCUGGCGGUAGGCCUAACACAUGCAAGUCGAACGGCAGCACAGUAAGAGCUUGCUCUUACGGGUGGCGAGUGGCGGACGGGUGAGGAAUACAUCGGAAUCUACUUUUUCGUGGGGGUUAACGUAGGGAAACUUACGCUAAUACCGCAUACGACCUACGGGUGAAAGCAGGGGAUCUUCGGACCUUGCGCGAUUGAAUGCGCCGAUGUCGGAUUAGCUAGUUGGCGGGGUAAAGGCCCACCAAGGCGACGAUCCGUAGCUGGUCUGAGAGGAUGAUCGGCCACAUUGGAAGGGGGACAGGGUCAAGAGGACUAAGGGAGGCAGCAGUGGGGAACAUGGGACAACGGGCGGAAGCCUGAUCCAGUGAGACCGCGUGGGUGAAGAAGGCGUUCGGGUUGUAAAGACCUUUUGUUGGGAAAGAAAAGCAGCAGGUUGAUACCCCGCUGUUCUGACGGUAACGAAAGAAUAAGCACCGGCUAACUUCGUG
rnacentral:rRNA from 1 species